CCUACGGGAGGCAGCAGUGAGGAAUAUUGGUCAAUGGGCGCGAGCCUGAACCAGCCAAGUCGCGUGAGGGAAGACGGUCCUAUGGAUUGUAAACCUCUUUUGUCGGGGAGCAAAAGACGCCACGCGUGGCGUUCCGAGAGUACCCGAAGAAAAAGCAUCGGCUAACUCCGUGCCAGCAGCCGCGGUAAUACGGAGGAUGCGAGCGUUAUCCGGAUUUAUUGGGUUUAAAGGGUGCGCAGGCGGAAGAUCAAGUCAGCGGUAAAAUUGGGGGGCUCAACCUCGUCGAGCCGUUGAAACUGGUUGUCUUGAGUGAGUGAGAAGUAUGCGGAAUGCGUGGUGUAGCGGUGAAAUGCAUAGAUAUCACGCAGAACUCCGAUGGCGAAGGCAGCAUACCGGCGCUCAACUGACGCUGAUGCACGAAAGUGUGGGGAUCGAACAGGAUUAGAUACCCGGGUAGUC
rnacentral:rRNA from 1 species